AAUAAAAAUAUUUGAAUGGGGGUUAAAGUAUUUUUAAAAAAAAAAUUUAAAUUUUUAUAGUUUAUUAAGUAUUGUGAAAGAAAUUUGAAAUAAAUGAAAUAUAAAUUAAAAAAAAAGUAAAUUUGAUUUAUUGUAUCUUGGGUAUCAGAGUUUAUUAAAAUUUAUUUAUUAAUUUAAUUUUCUCGAAUUUAAAAGAGUUAAUUAAUUAAAAAUUUUAUUGUUGCAUAAAUAUAUAAAAUAAUUAAUUAGAAAUGAAAUGUUAUUCGUUUUUAAAUAUAUCUAGUUUUUUUAGAAAAAAAUUUAAUUUUUAAUUAAUUUUAAAAUUUAAUUUAAUAAAUUAAUUAAUUUUAAAAUUUAAUUUAAUAUUUUGGGGGAUAAGCUUUAAAUUAAAUUUUUAUAAUUAAGAAUUUUUUUAUUUUAAAAAUUUUAUAAUUUAUAUUGUUAAAAAAUUUUAUUUUAUUAUAAAUAAUUUUAUAAAAAUUAAAAUUUAAUUAAAAUUUAAUUUUUUAUAGAAAAAUAAUUUAAAAUAAUUAAAAAUUAGAUAUAAUGAUAAAAUUAGUAUAUAAAAUAACUAAAUAUAUGUAUUUAUGUGUAUUAUUUAAAAUUAAUUUGAAGGAAUUCGACAAAUAAUUUAAAUUAUAUUCACCUGUUUAUCAAAAACAUGUCUUUUUGAAUUAAUAAUUUAAAGUCUAAUCUGCCCACUGAUUUUAAUUAAAGGGCUGCAGUAUAUUGACUGUACAAAGGUAGCAUAAUCAUUUGUCUCUUAAUUGGUGACUAGAAUGAAAGAUUGGAUGAAAUAUAAAUUGUCUCUAAAAUAUAUUAUUGAAUUUAAUUUUUUAAUUAAAAAGUUAAAAUAAUUUAAAAAGACGAGAAGACCCUAUAGAGUUUUAUAUUCUUUUAAAUUUAAAUUUUAUAUUAAUUGUUAAAUUAAAAUUUAGGUGGAUAUUUUAUUGGGGUGAUAGAAAAAUUUAAUUAACUUUUUUUUAAAAUAAACAUUAAUAAGUGAAUUUUUGAUCCAGUAAUAUUGAUUAUAAGAAAAAAUUACCUUAGGGAUAACAGCGUAAUUUUUUUUUUUAGUUCGAAUAAAAAAAAGAGUUUGCGACCUCGAUGUUGGAUUAAGAUAAAAUUUAAAUGCAAAAGUUUAAAAUUUUUGAUCUGUUCGAUCAUUAAAAUCUUACAUGAUCUGAGUUCAAACCGGUGUGAGCCAGGUUGGUUUCUAUCUUUUAAUAAAUUUAAUAUUUUAGUACGAAAGGAUCAAUUAUUAUAAUUAAAUUAAUGUUAUUGAAUAUUAUU
rnacentral:rRNA from 1 species